GCUGAUAUAGCUCAGUUGGUAGAGUGUUUGCCUUGGAUACACAAGGCCCUGGGUUCAAUCCCCAGCACCACA
rnacentral:tRNA from 1 species